CCUACGGGAGGCAGCAGUGGGGAAUAUUGCUCAAUGGGGGAAACCCUGAUGCAGCGACGCCGCGUGAGCGAAGACGUAUCUCGGUAUGUAAAGCUCUAUCAGUAGGGAAGAAAAUGACGGUACCUGAGUAAGAAGCUCCGGCUAAAAACGGGCCAGCAGCCGCGGUAAUACGUAUGGAGCAAGCGUUAUCCGGAUUUACUGGGCGUUAAGGGAGCGUAGGCGGCCUGCCAAGUCUGAUGUGAAAUACCGGGGCUCAACCCCGGGGUUGCAGUGGAGACUGGCAGGCUGGAGUGCCGGAGAGGCAGGCGGAAUUCCUAGUGUAGCGGUGAAAUGCGUAGAUAUUAGGAGGAACACCGGUGGCGAAGGCGGCCUGCUGGACGGUAACUGACGCUGAGGCUCGAAAGCGUGGGGAGCAGACAGGAUUAGAUACCCUUGUAGUC
rnacentral:rRNA from 1 species